CCUACGGGAGGCAGCAGUAGGGAAUUUUCCGCAAUGGGCGAAAGCCUGACGGAGCAAUACCGCGUGAGGGAUGACGGCCUGUGGGUUGUAAACCUCUUUUCUCAAGGAAGAAGUUCUGACGGUACUUGAGGAAUAAGCAUCGGCCAACUCUGUGCCAGCAGCCGCGGUAAUACAGAGGAUGCAAGCGUUAUCCGGAAUCACUGGGCAUAAAGCGUCUGUAGGUUGUUUAGUAAGUCUGCUGUUAAAGACUGGGGCUUAACCCCAGAAAAGCAGUGGAAACUGCUAGACUCGAGUGUGGUAGAGGUAGAGGGAAUUCCUAGUGUAGCGGUGAAAUGCGUAGAUAUUAGGAAGAACACCAAUGGCGAAGGCACUCUACUGGGCCAUAACUGACACUGAGAGACGACAGCUAGGGGAGCAAACGGGAUUAGAUACCCCGGUAGUCCUAGCCGUAAACGAUGGAUACUAGAUGUUGCACGUAUUAACCCGUGCAGUAUCGUAGCUAAGGCGUUAAGUAUCCGCCUGGGAAGUACGCUCGCAGAGUGAAACUUAAGGAAUUGACGG
rnacentral:rRNA from 1 species